UCACCUGAUUUCCUUUGGAGAGACAAGCCAAUGGGGUGAAGGGUGUGUGGAGUCCCGUGUGUGCCUUCCUUGAGAUCAGGCUGGAAGCCUGGGAAAUCAUCCCUGCUGUGCAAUCCUCCCAACUUGAGGCCCACGGCUCUACCAACUGCUUCCCCUAACAUCUUCUGUGACUAAAAGGGAACUGGGCUCAGGGAACUGGGAAGAGACUCCUAAGAGGUGACGCAGGGUGAACGAAGCAGAACAAUUUAUCCAAGAACAAUAUUAAAAAGAUCACUUUUAAAGACGCCAGAAUGCCAACCAGUUCAAGGGCCACCCUCCAUGCCCCAGGCCCAGCAAUGAAGGAGAAGUUCAAGAAACGACGGGAGACCAGUUUAGGACGCAGAGGAGACGGCAGAAAGGAAAAGGAGGCAGUUUUCCAAGUUAAGGCAACGGAGAAUUCACAGCUCGCUCCCCAAAAAGCGGGACUUGGAGUCAAUAACCAAAGUUUCCUUUGUCCUCUUGCCCCACCUGCCAAGUAUUCCUCAGCACCUGGGACAACUGCCCAGUGGCCUGAACACACCUGCAUAGCUGUGGUUACGUACAAGUGCCAAGUUCAUUAAGUGCUUGGGAAUCGAAGGCUGGGGCGACAGAAAAACAAUCCAAACGCAAGAAGAACAAGGAGCUUAAGAAAGAAAACUUUCUGUCGGUUGAAAAAAGGAAAAAAAAGGUGGAUUAAAGGGUGGGUUCACAGACUCAUAAGAUUUGGAGCUUU